GACGGGGGCCCGCACAAGCGGAGGAACAUGUGGUUUAAUUCGAUGAUACGCGAGGAACCUUACCCGGGCUUGAACUGCAGCGGAAGGAUACAGAGAUGUUGACGCCCUUCGGGGCCGCUGUGGAGGUGCUGCAUGGUUGUCGUCAGCUCGUGCCGUGAGGUGUCGGCUUAAGUGCCAUAACGAGCGCAACCCUUUUCAUUAGUUGCCAUCAGGUAAUGCUGGGCACUCUGGUGAUACUGCCACCGUAAGGUGUGAGGAAGGUGGGGAUGACGUCAAAUCAGCACGGCCCUUACGUCCGGGGCUACACACGUGUUACAAUGGGAGGUACAGAGAGUCGGAUGUACGCAAGUACAUUCUAAUCCUAAAAGCCUUCCUCAGUUCGGAUUGGGGUCUGCAACCCGACCCCAUGAAGCUGGAUUCGCUAGUAAUCGCGCAUCAGCCAUGGCGCGGUGAAUACGUUCCCGGGCCUUGUACACACCGCCCGUCAAGCCAUGAAAGCCGGGGGCGCUUGAAGUCCGUGGGGAACAAGGAUCGGCCUAGAUUUUUGACUGGUAAAAAA
rnacentral:rRNA from 1 species